UACGUAGGGCGCAAGCGUUGUCCGGAAUUAUUGGGCGUAAAGAGCUCGUAGGUGGUUUGUCGCGUCUGCCGUGAAAGCCCCCGGCUCAACUGGGGAGGGUCACACGAUACUGAUCGACUCGAAGGCAGGAGAGGGUAGUGGAAUUCCCGGUGUAGUGGUGAAAUGCGUAGAUAUCGGGAGGAACACCGGUGGCGAAGGCGGUUCUCUGGGCCUUACCUGACGCUGAGGAGCGAAAGCAUGGGGAGCGAACAGG
rnacentral:rRNA from 1 species